AGCUUAGCUGAAAAGAUUACCGNUUAGCGGCGGACGGGUGAGUAACGCGUGGGCAACCUGCCCUGUGCAGGGGGAUAACACAUCGAAAGGUGUGCUAAUACCCCAUAAGACUACGAUGUCGCAUGGCAUAGUAGUAAAAGCUGAGGCGGCACACGAUGGGCCCGCGUCUGAUUAGCUAGUUGGUAGGGUAACGGCCUGCCAAGGCAACGAUCAGUAGCCGACCUGAGAGGGUGAACGGCCACACUGGAACUGAGACACGGCCCAGACUCCUACGGGAGGCAGCAGUGGGGAAUAUUGCACAAUGGGGGAAACCCUGAUGCAGCAACGCCGCGUGAGCGAAGAAGGCCUUCGGGUCGUAAAGCUCUGUCCUAAGGGAAGAAAGAUGACGGUACCUUAGGAGGAAGCCCCGGCUAACUACGUGCCAGCAGCCGCGGUUAAACGUAGGGGGCGAGCGUUAUCCGGAAUGACUGGGCGUAAAGGGUGUGUAGGCGGCCGGUAAAGUCUGGGGUGAAGGGCUACGGCUUAACCGUAGUAAGCCUUGGAAACUUAUCGGCUUGAGUGCAGGAGAGGAGAGCGGAAUUCCUAGUGUAGCGGUGAAAUGCGUAGAUAUUAGGAGGAACACCAGUGGCGAAGGCGGCUCUCUGGACUGCAACUGACGCUGAGGCACGAAAGCGUGGGGAGCGAACAGGAUUAGAUACCCUGGUAGUCCACGCCGUAAACGAUGAGUGCUAGGUGUUGGAGGUUCAUACUUUUUCAGUGCCGCAGUUAACGCAUUAAGCACUCCC
rnacentral:rRNA from 1 species